rnacentral:tRNA from 1 species
GCGCCCGUAGCUCAGAGGAUAGAGCGUCUGCCUUCUAAGCAGAGGGUCGGGGGUUCAAGUCCCUCCGGGCGCGCCA